GAGGGCGGGGCGAGGGCGGGGCGGGCGGCCUCAGCCGGCGGCGGGGCGGUGUCGCGUCGCCCUCCUCAGCCGCGGGCUGCCGCCUCCUGCCGGCCGCGUCGGUUACAAAGGCCGCUGCCGGGCCGGCCGCCCUCAGCCUCUUCCGGCCGUGACGGCGGCGCGGGCCGGGCUCCCCGCCGGAGAUGAGGGAGGAUGUCGGUGUCGGGGCUGAAGGCUGAGCUCAAGUUCCUGGCGUCCAUCUUCGACAAGAACCACGAGCGGUUCCGCAUCGUCAGCUGGAAGCUGGACGAACUGCACUGCCAGUUCCUGGUGCGGCCGCCGGGUAGCGCGGCCUCGGCGCUCACGCUGCACUGCAACAUCACGGAGUCGUACCCAGCUUCCUCACCAAUAUGGUUCGUGGACUCUGAUGACCCAAACCUGACAUCAGUUCUGGAACGUCUAGAAGAUUCUAAGAACAACAGUUCGCUUCGUCAGCAGCUGAAGUGGUUGAUCUGCGAGCUCUGCCGAUUGCACGACCUUCCCAAGCACCUGGAUGUGGAGCUGCUGGAUCAGCCGCUGCCCGCGGGCCAGAAUGGGACCACGGAGGAAGUGACGUCAGAAGAGGAGGACGAGGAGGAGAUGGCGGAGGACAUAGAAGACCUGGACCACUACGAGAUGAAGGAGGAGGAGCCUAUCAGCGGGAAGAAGUCAGAAGAUGAAGGAAUCGAAAAGGAAAACCUGGCGAUAUUAGAGAAAAUCAGGAAGACUCAAAGGCAAGACCAUCUAAAUGGCGCGGUGUCCGGGUCGGUGCAGGCCUCAGACAGGCUCAUGAAGGAGCUCAGGGACAUCUACCGCUCGCAGAGCUACAAGGCAGGGUUUUACUCAGUGGAACUCAUAAAUGACAGUUUGUACGACUGGCAUGUGAAGCUUCAGAAGGUCGAUCCUGAUAGUCCUUUGCACAGUGAUCUUCAGAUCUUAAAAGAAAAAGAAGGCAUAGAAUAUAUUUUGCUUAACUUCUCUUUUAAGGAUAACUUCCCGUUUGACCCUCCGUUUGUCCGCGUGGUGUUGCCGGUUCUCUCCGGAGGGUACGUGUUGGGGGGCGGCGCGCUGUGUAUGGAGCUUCUCACAAAACAGCACAAACAUCUCAGUGCUCAUCUGCGGUUGCUGAGUGUUGCCGGCUGCCGUCGGCUUUCCCACGCGUUCAGAGCAGCUUUCCUCCUGCAGGGCUGGAGCAGCGCCUACUCCAUCGAGUCCGUCAUCAUGCAGAUCAACGCCACCCUCGUCAAAGGCAAAGCCAGGGUGCAGUUCGGAGCAAAUAAGGUACUUUUCUCAGUGACGUCACAUACAGACAGGAAAAUCAAUAUAAUCUAGCAAGAGCCCAGCAGUCUUAUAAUUCCAUUGUACAGAUACACGAGAAAAACGGCUGGUACACCCCUCCGAAGGAAGACGGCUAAGUGGAUGGACUGUCCCAGGCUCGGACCAACGUUGCUUUAAAGAAACCUUCCCACCGUGCAGACCAGCUUCGAGUGCCCAUAACAGCAGCCCCGACGACGUUAGCUGAUAGACACUUUAGUGGAUACUCUGUCACCUGACAUCCUGCAUAAGUUACAGCCUCUCAUUUGCUCAUUGUAGGUAUCUUGGACUCAGCAGGGGGGCCUUUCCUGUAUUUUUCUUGAUAAAUACACACACUGGCCACUCCUUAUCAUCUCUUUUUCUUGAAAAAUGAAAUCUGUUAAGCAGGCAAGUCAGCACCCGGUCCCUGGAGUUGCCGCUGUAGGUGCCGUCUCCCUCUGAGCUCGUGCGCUGCGAGGACACGCAGUGUGUGGUCCCCUCAGAGCCAAUAAAGGUGAUUUGGUGUUCCCGUCGGCUUAGGAAGUUUAAGGUCUUCUCGAUCACCGUAGCCUUUUCCGGUUGCCAGAAUAACGACAGAAAACCUGCUCCAGGAAUCGUUACACUUUUUAUGGCCUCUCUGGGGCCAUUUCCCACAGACAUGCUCUUAACUGCAUUGCAAGGUGGGGCCACGCAAGCACGUCAGCUGUCGUAGUGAUUCCACUGGGCAUGAGUCUUGCUGGCUGAAGCUGUUACUGGUUCACUAUGUCUUACGAAGAUCUGCAGUCUAGAUCUUGAGGUUAUUUAAAAUACUAAGUCAUUUUACAUUUCCAUUUUAUUAACGGGAUGUUGCAAUCGUUUGUAAACUAAUAAGCUUAUAAAGUGAUUGGCACACAGACAGACUCCUUGAGCAAAAGCUGCACAGCUAAGGACACACAGAUCCCUCAUUUGGAGACCUAAAAUUUUUUGCUACAGUCAUAACAAUGGCUUUUACUUAAAGACUAAUAGGAACUCUACACCUAUUAAUUCUUUUAUAAAACCUGACUUAAAUCAGUACCCUCUCCAUUCUCUUGCCUUACCUGAAUCAGUCCUGUUUGAUUGGAAGUAGAUUUUUAUAUACCCAUGUUUGAUUUAAAAGUAAGGUCUAGUUAUUAAGCACUUUUAAAAUGAAAUCCAGAAGCACAUUUUCUGCACAAAUCACUUACAAAGUUCAAAAGUGUUUCUUAGGCACCUGCUCUGAGAGUCAGUUUUCAACUUUGUAAGCCGCCUGGGAGAGACCCGCAUGGCUGCAGGGCCGCAGCGUGGGGGGCCGUGGGAGAGGCUGUCCUGGGUUUGCUCACGUGGCUACAUUUGUGCUCAGUUCUGAUACAGUGGCUCAGACAGGCGACAAGGCAGAAUUCUUUAAGGCAUUACAGUUCCUUAAACCUAAGGCUGGAUCUUGAAUACAUUGUUGAAUUCUUUAAUAACCUGAUGGCUACAGGCUGACAGCUGCACAUUUGGCAUGCUUUGUUUUUAUUUGGAGUUUAUUUUUCAUUGCAGAUUUAUUUGGCAAUGUACAGUAAAUUUUGUAAACUUGCAUCAAGUUUAUGAAUAAAGAAUCAUUUAAGAAA